CGCACCAGAGGGCCUUGGCCGCGGGCAUCAUCCCCGACCUUUCCCGGGUCCCCUCCCCCGGCUCCCGAGGCACCGCAGCCGCCGGGAGGCCGGGAUGCCCAUCCUCCCCCUGGGGCCCCGGCAGCGGGCAAAGGAGGCAGGCCCGCAGGCCCAGAGGACCAACGAGCCCAACCGUCCCUGGCCCGGCCCCGGCGGCUCGCCCGCCCCCCAGACUCCCGCCCGCUCCAGACAGUACCUGCCGAGGCUGCGGGAGGGCGGCGGCGGCGCCGGCGGGAGCGGCCCACAGCUCAGGCUAGCGGGCGGCCUCUCGCUCCGACCGAGACCCCCGUCCCGCUGCCGAGCGCCCGACCGGCCCUGGCCUGCGCCUUACGUAAACCGGCGGCGGCGGCAGCGGCGGCGGCGGCGGCAGCGGCGGCGGUGACUCCGGCGGCUGCUCCCAGCGCCACUAGGCGGAGGGGAGGGGAAGGGAGGGGGCAAGGGAAGAGGGAGGGGGACGGGGAAGCCUCUCCGCUCGGUUACCCGGCAACUGGCCUCAGCGCCCCGCCAACCAGGUUAUAUUCCCUGCAAAAUGAGGAUAAAAUGACCAUGUACUUCCCAGAAAAUGAAGGAAUUGGACCAAGUUGCUAUGGUCUCCUACAGCUCUGCAAUUCUACAUUCAACCAUCUGGGUAUAAAACUACACAGUGACCUGCUGUUUUAGUGGGAUACUGCUAAGAUGAAUGAAGCAAAGCAAUCCCUAAAUUGGACUCCAAUUGGAAGGCCUGACUGAAGGGACAUGGAGCACCAGGGACAUAGAUUGCAAGAACCCAGGAAAAGUGUCAUGGGUAGGUUAGGAACUAAAUGUUGAAGAAGAGUCUAUUGGAGGACCAUACAAUAAAGGAGAAAUCUGUGGGGUGUCCCA
rnacentral:lncRNA from 1 species